AUGCACUAAACUUUAAGGACACCAAAGUCUCAUAGGUCUAUGGGCUCAGUAGGCCUGGAAUGGGACCCAGGAAUCCCUGCCCUUCUAGACAGCCUUGUCAGGUAAGAUGGAAAACACAGCAUCAUCUCUUUCUCUUUUCUUCCCUCUCUUCUGUCUUUCCACAGACACACAAGGUAGAUGCUUCUGCUGGCUUCUUUCUACAGCUGAGGAGUCUGAGGCUCGGAGAGGCUGGGCAACUUGCCCAAGGUCAUGCAGUUAAUUGAUAGCAGGGCUGGGAUUUGGGGCCAGGCAGUCUGACUCCAAAGCCUGCACGUGGGGCAGGUUGAUUGUUGUCAGCGGGAGGUGACGGAGGCAAAGGAAAGGAACACUCAUGGAAGCUGUGCCCUUCAGCGUGCAUGCCUGCCUCUGGCUUUGCUCUCUUGUUUGUGGAGAGGAGUCCUAAAGGGAUGUAUGCAGGGCGGUGCCCAGUCCCGCCAGCCGUGUCAGGCCUCUGCGCCCGCCUUCUUGGGAAAGCGCUCGGAGGGCGACCCGGGCGACUCGGCCACCAGCACGCAGAAGGAUCAGAGUUGGCUGUGGCGCCAGAGGAAACUGGAGGUGGCGUGCUCGCAGCUCUGCACGGUGGGUGCUGAGAGCUGAUGUCAGCUGCUUCAGGCGAGGGCAGCCACAGGUGGAGUUCGUUACCUUGAG